UGUGAAAAGUGCUCACAAAAAUGUCAUUUAAUAAAUGCUUGUUUGUAUAUAAAGGAGCAUACUGUUACACAGGACAGCCUGGGAAACGUGCAAUUGAGAUCCAGUAGACAGGUUUAAGAACUCUUUACAGUCUAGGUAUAAUUUUCAAUUGCAAACUGAAAGCCUCCCUGAGGUUAAACAUUCACAUAAAGCAAUCAACUGGAAUGUCAAAAAAUAUACUCUUUUCCUGGGUCUACGUUGAAGAAAAUACUUUGGUUUUUUACUGGUUUCAUAUGCAUGCAAUUCUCACAAAAUAGAUUUGAGACCAACUAAUGUACAUAUUUAAAAUUGAGUAAAUAGUAUUAAAUGGAUAUAGGUAGAAUUCUUCUUGUCUUUAAAGAAAAUAUUAGCUGUACCACUUCCUCCAAAAGACAGACCUUCAUAACAACUAAUUCUGGUAUCAAGCACCAAUUUCAUUCUGAUGAUUAAGAAGUUUCUAGAUUUUUGUUUCCUACUUCUCACAAGAGGAAACUCAAGAGAAUGAAAUCUUCCUGCUUAAAUGCAAACAAUAGUCUUUGAAACUUGAUACAAGCAAACUUAAGACACUUCCUACCUCUAAUUGAUCCCAUAGUAGUUUCACUAUUUUUCAAAGCAAGUUGUUUUCUGCCCAUGUACUUGCAAGUACCCAGGUGGGCACAGAAGAGUCGGAGCAGAGUGUGUCCAAGUUCAAAGCUGGAGUGUGUGACAGUUGCUCACUCCAGUCCCUCUGUGUAACUGGCUUUCUGCUAAUAAACAGCAAGCAUUAUGCAUAAGCAAGGCCAGACUAGAUGGUGUUCUCAUCUAUUGGAAGGUGUCCCCACCCACUGCAGAAGGUUUGGACCCACAUGGUCUUUUACAACCCCUUCCAAUCCAAACCUUCUGUGAUUCCUAAUUUCCAUCCAUUUCAAUCCUCAGCAGUCAAACAGCAAAUCCUAAUAAAGCAUUUUUGCAAAACGUUGCCUAAAAAAUACAGAGCAUCAGAUUCACAGGAAAAUCAACAUUUUUCUUCCAUAGUCCCAAGAGAUUUAAUUUAUGGCAAGUGAAGGCUACCGCACAGUGAUGGAGAUAAAGAAAGGUAAUUAUUCAUGCUUUUCAUAUUAUGCAUUUGCCUUGACAGGUAAACUGUUCUGUAAAAGCCUUGUCAUCAUUGGCACUGUAACAAAUUUAUUACCAGCGGUUUUGUACAGAUUCAUCAAUCCUUUAAAUCAGAUUAUGUGCAUCACUAAAGUCACUAGGCAAGAAUAACUGACUAUACCUUUGAACUGCAAAGAAAUAGAAAAUGGAACCUGGAAACAUCUAAAUAUAACCUACAAAGAAACUGCUUACUUCUUAUUUUCAUCUGUGUGUCAUUAAUAUGCAUCCCGGCAUGACUGCCUUGCAUUAUUAAAAAGGUCCUAUCUAAGGCAAAAAUCCCUACUUUAGAGAACAUUUGUUCAAAAUAAUUCUCAGGGGUUUUUUUGUUGUUGCAUUUAAAACUAUUUUUUCCAGGUAGUUAUUCCUUGAUAACGUUCUCAAAAUAAAUUGUACAACACAAAAUGCUUUACUUUACCUCCUAGGGUAAAAAAGGCAGCAACUAAGACUCUCAUUAGCAUUAGUUUACAAACAAUUACUACAGGAACAAUUCAAUUCCUCUUACAUCCAGUGAAAUGGAAGCACUCAUUAUUUUCUGCAGCAAGUCCAACUUUUAGAACGACAUGAUUAUUUUGUUUAUAAAAAUCUGAGGUACAAUGAAAGAAUACAAUAGCAUAAAUGAAAAGCUAGGCUUCCCAAAAAACAGCAGUUCAGGGGAGACUAUUCAUGUCUCUUAGCAUCUAGAGACAAAAAAAUCUCUGGUGAGAAAACCAAACUCCAGAACAAAGACAGUAAUGAAAAUAGUUUGGGCUUAGAUGGAUUACACAGACCGCCUGGUCCACCCUCAACUGACUUGGACAUUACAUCCCACAGGCCAAAGUCAUCUCUUAAUCCCUCAAAGACUGGAGAUUCCACCAUAUCACGAUGCAAUCCAUGGCAGCAUGCUCUUCCCUGCUUCCCUUGUCAUAGUUUUUCUUUAAGAAACCCGUUUGUCCUUUUGCUGUUCACCUCCAAGAUGAAUUCAUCCCCUUCCUGCUGCUCGUCUAAAUUAAUGAUCAAAGUACCACUUUUUGUUCAUAAAUUUAAGAGGAAAGAGGGUUGUCAAAUGUGCAGUUACCUUUUUCAUUUCCCAUCUUAUCACAUCACAGUAAUUUAUACAAACCAAUAGUUUACUGCAUUAAUAUUUUUAUUUGUAAACCUCAGCCCUUUGAAAAAUCACAGCAAAUCUUCCCCUAAGUCUCUCAUUUUCUCAAGCCUCUCCCCUCCAUCCCAUGCCUUAAGCUUUC
ensembl:lncRNA